rnacentral:rRNA from 1 species
AUUGAACGCUGGCGGCAGGCCUAACACAUGCAAGUCGAACGAGUGGCGGACGGGUGAGUAAUGUCUGGGAAACUGCCUGAUGUAGGGGGAUAACUACUGGAAACGGUAGCUAAUACCGCAUACCAUCGGAUGUGCCCAGAUGGGAUUAUCUAGUUGGUGGGGUAAAGGCUCACCUAGGCGACGAUCACUAGCUGGUCUGAGAGGAUGAGCAGCCACACGGGAACGGAGAAACGGGCCAAACGCCUACGGGAGGCAGCAGUGGGGAAUUUUGGACAAUGGGAGCAAGCAGGAUUACGCCAUGCCGCGGCGAUGAAGAGGGCCUUCGGGUUGUAAAGUACUUACAGCGGGGAGGCGUUACCCGCAGAAGAAGCACCGGCUAACUCCGUGCCAGCAGCCGCGGUAAUAC